AGUGAACAGCAUUUGAUUGUGUAGCCCCAAGAUAGAAAAAGUUAUCAAGAAAUGGACAGACGUUAAGACGCACAACAACCAUGUGUGAAUGAUGAGAUCUCGUCCAUCACAUCAGUUGAACAAAAGUUGGAAAUCCGCGAAACAGCGCAUGUGAGGCCCAGUCAGAUGAGCCAGUAAGAAAAAAAAGAUAUAGUGUUCCACUUCAUUGUUCCCUAGCUGUAGAGUUGUUGGAGAAAACCCUGUAUUGUUAUGUUACAAAGAUAAUGAAAUAAAGGAGUAGAAUUUA